rnacentral:rRNA from 1 species
GGGUGCGUAACACGUGGGUAACCUGCCCUUUGGUGGGGAAUAACUUCGCGAAAGCGAGGCUAAUUCCGCAUAAGAUCCGCAAGGAUGAAAGCCGAAAGGCGCCGAAGGAGGGGCCCGCGCACGAUUAGAUAGUUGGUAGGGUAACGGCCUACCAAGGCUAUGAUCGUUAGCUGGUCUGAGAGGAUGGCCAGCCACACUGGAACUGAGACACGGUCCAGACUCCUACGGGAGGCAGCAGUGGGGAAUCUUGCACAAUGGGCGAAAGCCUGAUGCAGCGACGCCGCGUGGGGGAUGAAGCUUCUCGGAGUGUAAACCCCUUUCGACCCGGACGAAUGCCCCGCAAGGGGACUGACGGUACGGGUAUAAGAAGCCCCGGCUAACUACGUGCCAGCAGCCGCGGUAAUACGUAGGGGGCCAGCGUUGCUCGGAAUUACUGGGUGUAAAGGGUUCGUAGGCGGUGCGGCAAGUUGGAAGUGAAAUCUCUGGGCUCAACCCAAAGGCUGCUUUCAAAACUGCUGUGCUUGAGUGUGGGAGAGGCGCGUGGAAUUGCAGGUGUAGCGGUGAAAUGCGUAGAUAUCUGCAGGAACACCCGUGGCGAAAGCGGCGCGCUGGACCACAACUGACGCUGAGGAACGAAAGCUAGGGGAGCAAACAGGAUUAGAUACCCUGGUAGUCCUAGCCCUAAACGAUCAGGACUUGGGGUGGCUCACGUUCGUGAGUCGUCCCGGAGCUAACGCGUUAAGUCCUGCACCUGGGGAGUACGGUCGCAAGACUGAAACU